UUGUACCCCAUGAUGGCCCAGAUUGCCCAUGGACCUACACAUCUCUCCAAGAUGCACAUGAACAGCAUAGUAAACACCCAUUGGGUAGCACCCGGAUUUACUGUUGUAGCAGCUAAACACACCCAAGCUUGCAUGAUUUGUGCUAGACACAAUCCAGGACAAGCUGUGAAAACACCAAGUAAGCACACACCAAGGCCACUUUACCCGUUUCAAAGACUGCAG
rnacentral:lncRNA from 1 species